CUAGCUGAGAGGAGGUGCAUGGCCGUCGUCAGUUCGUACUGUGAAGCAUCCUGUUAAGUCAGGCAACGAGCGAGACCCACGCCAACAGUUGCCAGCUCGUCCUCCGGGAUGGUGGGGACACUGUUGGGACCGCUCUGCUAAAGAGGAGGAAGGAAUGGGCAACGGUAGGUCAGCAUGCCCCGAAUUAUCUGGGCUACACGCGGGCUACAAUGGGUGGGACAAUGGGUAUCGACACCGAAAGGUGAAGGCAAUCUCCUAAACCCAUCCGUAGUUCGGAUUGUGGGCUGCAACUCGCCCACAUGAAGCUGGAAUCUGUAGUAAUCGUGUCUCAAAAUGGCACGGUGAAUAUGUCCCUGCUCCUU
rnacentral:rRNA from 1 species